GCCCGGGUGGCGGAAUCGGUAGACGCAGAGGGCUUAAACCCCUCGGCUCGACUUGGAGCGUGUGGGUUCGAAUCCCACUCCGGGCA
rnacentral:tRNA from 1 species